GACGGAGGGUGCAAGCGUUGUUCGGAUUGACUGGGCGUAAAGGGCGUGUAGGCGGUUGGUCAAGUCUGGUGUGAAAGCCCGGGGCUUAGCCCCGGAAGUGCAUCGGAAACUAGCCAGCUGGAGCGCGAUAGAGGAGGGCGGAAUUCCUGGUGUAGCGGUGAAAUGCGUAGAUAUCAGGAGGAACACCGGCGGCGAAGGCGGCCCUCUGGAUCGUUGCUGACGCUGAGACGCGAAAGCGUGGGGAG
rnacentral:rRNA from 1 species